rnacentral:lncRNA from 1 species
CCAAGCCUGUUCAAAUUGUAGUUCCUUAUGUGCUCCAUAGCAAUGCUGUGGUACUAUUUGUUCGCAUGCCCGAUAUUGGAGUAUUUGAUGGCGUCUAUGUUACAAGUAAAGAAGGACCUAAUGCAACAUUCUCUUUAAAAAGUGAUGGUAAAAUAACAAUUGAAAACCUUACUGCAGGAAGAGAAUAUGAUUUUUGUGUCUCCACAAAAAGUGGAAACAUUUUGAGCUCCUUUUACCAUAUAAAUGGUGUAAAAACAUGUCUGGCAGCUCCCCUGAAUGUACAAGAGGGUAACGUCACUGACACUUCAAUACAGGUCUCUUGGGACCGUGCUGAUGGAGAUUUUGAGCAAUACGAGGUUACAUGUACAAACUGUGAAAGUGCUUUCAAGGUCCAGAAGGUCAAGCAACAAACAGCAACGUUUUCCAAUCUUAGUCCUGGUAAGCUGUACAGUUUUGCAAUUCGAAC